GCCUGGGUGGCUCAGCGGUUGAGCCUCUGCCUUCGGCUCAGGGAGUGAUCCCGGGGUCGUGGGAUCAAGUCCCACAUUGGGCU
rnacentral:tRNA from 1 species